AAUUGGAAUUCGAAUAGUGAAUAGUAUUAAGAUUCUUUUCAUGAAUCGUUAUUCUCUGUCAAAUUGGAGAUAAAUAAAAUCAAGUAGAGACAGAGGAAGAGGUCCUCGAGUCUCGAACAAAGACGCAUUCUCUCUUCUACUUUGUAUAAAUACAUUUUAAAAACCAUACUGGUUAUUAAAAUACUGAGAUAACUAAUUACAAGUUUUAACCCUACAUUACAUUACAUAAUCUUUCUUUCUCUUUCCAUCAAAAUUUGUUGAUGGAAGAGGGAACUGGUUUUCCUCUAGGGAAGCCAAAUGGAAAAUACGGCGGAGGAGUUGAGCGAGUGCCGUCAAGGUUGAAGUCGGAGCUGAGAUUCUCUGGCGGGGAUAGUAGUAGUCAUCAAGAAUACAACUCGGAGGUGGAAGCGCCUUCAGCGGCUAUAAACGGUGUAGCAUCGACGAGUAUGAGUUUUGGAAAUAAUCUUAACAACUGGGAUAACUCAUCUUCUCAAAUAAGUUUCACCAUUGAUGAACCCGGAAAACGGUCCAAGACCACCGACUUUUUCACCUUAGAAACUCAGUUUAGCAUGCCACAAACGUCACUGGAGAGUUUGAUAAACAUCCCAGAGGAUUCGGUGCCUUGGAAGGUCAGGGCCAAGCGUGGAUGUGCUACUCACCCGCGCAGCAUCGCUGAAAGGGAGAGAAGAACGAGAAUAAGUGGGAAGCUGAAGAAGCUACAAGAACUUGUGCCCAAUAUGGACAAGCAAACGAGCUAUGCAGACAUGUUGGAUUUAGCUGUUGAGCAUAUCAAAGGUCUUCAACACCAUAUAGAGAGUAUUAGAUCUCUUCGCGAGACUAAGCCACGAAGGAGCUUGUGUCGGAGUUGCAGUGACGAUAACUCCAAAUCUCGUCCCCAAUGUCUGCCACACCGGCGAAUAUGAAGUCUCUCCAUGGUCUCACACGUGGUCCCCUCGGAGGCGUGCGGCGGAGGAGGAGCUUCGGAGGCGGCGAAGAAUCAGAAACCAAUUGCAGCGGUGGAGGCAAAAUCGAACAGGCAGAGAGAGAUUCCGGCGGAGUCUCCCGGAUUAGGCUACGGCGGCGUUGUUGAGGUGAAGACCAAGAAUCGCAGGCUCUGGGCGGCUCUGUCUCGCGACGAGAUCGAGGAAGACGUGUUCAGCACGAGUGGGAACAGGCCGUCUCAGUCGACCGCGAAAGAGGACGAAGACCUUGCAGAAAUAUCUCGAUGUUAUCUUUCCUGGGUUGUGUCUUGUGAGGAUGAAUGCUGAUUGCUUCAGGGUAUCCACUUCUCGCGCUAAGAUAUUUUUAACAAUUUGACCACAAAUACACAAACUGGGACCAGAUGUGGAGAGAAAGCCAAGGAGCGAGAAGCAUUUUACUUUGAGGAAUUCAGGAAAUAGAGUUAGUAUAAGACUUGACUAAGAGUUAUGGUGAUAGUAUAACACAUGUUUGAUGUUAGGGUAAGACUUGGAAAUUCUAUGUAAAAUGUAUGUUUGAUGAAUUUAAUGCAAUAUAUAAUAUGUAUAUUUUAGUUGUAAAUCAGUUUGCAGUUUAUAAUU